rnacentral:rRNA from 1 species
AGUGAACGCUGGCGGUAGGCCUAACACAUGCAAGUCGAACGGCAGCACAGUAAGAGCUUGCUCUUACGGGUGGCGAGUGGCGGACGGGUGAGGAAUACAUCGGAAUCUACUUUUUCGUGGGGGAUAACGUAGGGAAACUUACGCUAAUACCGCAUACGACCUACGGGUGAAAGCAGGAGAUCUUCGGACCUUGCGCGAUUGAAUGAGCCGAUGUCGGAUUAGCUAGUUGGCGGGGUAAAGGCCCACCAAGGCGACGAUCCGUAGCUGGUCUGAGAGGAUGAUCGGCGACACUGGAACUGAGCCACGGUCCAGACUCCUACGGGAGGCAGCAGUGGGGAAUAUUGGACAAUGGGCGCAAGCCUGAUCCAGCCAUACCGCGUGGGUGAAGAAGGCCUUCGGGUUGUAAAGCCCUUUUGUUGGGAAAGAAAAGCAGCAGGUUAAUACCCCGCUGUUCUGACGGUACCCAAAGAAUAAGCACCGGCUAACUUCGUG